rnacentral:rRNA from 1 species
GACGAACGCUGGCGGCGUGCCUAAUACAUGCAAGUUGAGCGCUGAAGGUUGGUACUUGUACCAACUGGAUGAGCAGCGAACGGGUGAGUAACGCGUGGGGAAUCUGCCUUUGAGCGGGGGACAACAUUUGGAAACGAAUGCUAAUACCGCAUAAAAACUUUAAACACAAGUUUUAAGUUUGAAAGAUGCAAUUGCAUCACUCAAAGAUGAUCCCGCGUUGUAUUAGCUAGUUGGUGAGGUAAAGGCUCACCAAGGCGAUGAUACGUAGCCGACCUGAGAGGGUGAUCGGCCACAUUGGGACUGAGACACGGCCCAAACUCCUACGGGAGGCGGCAGUAGGGAAUCUUCGGCAAUGGACGAAAGUCUGACCGAGCAACGCCGCGUGAGUGAAGAAGGGUUUCGGAUCGUAAAACUCUGUUGGUAGAGAAGAACGUUGGUGAGAGUGGAAAGCUCAUCAAGUGACGGUAACUACCCAGAAAGGGACGGCUAACUACGUG